rnacentral:rRNA from 1 species
CCUACGGGAGGCAGCAGUGGGGAAUAUUGCACAAUGGGGGAAACCCUGAUGCAGCGACGCCGCGUGAGUGAAGAAGUAAUUCGGUAUGUAAAGCUCUAUCAGCAGGGAAGAAAAUGACGGUACCUGAGUAAGAAGCCCCGGCUAACUACGUGCCAGCAGCCGCGGUAAUACGUAGGGGGCAAGCGUUAUCCGGAUUUACUGGGUGUAAAGGGAGCGUAGACGGCAGUGCAAGUCUGGAGUGAAAGGCCGGGGCUCAACCCCCGGACUGCUCUGGAAACUGUACGGCUAGAGUGCAGGAGAGGUAAGUGGAAUUCCUAGUGUAGCGGUGAAAUGCGUAGAUAUUAGGAGGAACACCAGUGGCGAAGGCGGCUUACUGGACUGUAACUGACGUUGAGGCUCGAAAGCGUGGGGAGCAAACAGGAUUAGAUACCCCAGUAGUC